CCUACGGGAGGCAGCAGUGGGGAAUAUUGGACAAUGGGCGCAAGCCUGAUCCAGCCAUGCCGCGUGAGUGAAGAAGGCCCUAGGGUUGUAAAGCUCCUUCACCCGCGAAGAUGAUGACGGUAGCGGGAGAAGAAGCCCCGGCUAACUCCGUGCCAGCAGCCGCGGUAAU
rnacentral:rRNA from 1 species